rnacentral:rRNA from 1 species
UACGUAGGGACCAAGCGUUGUUCGGAUUUACUGGGCGUAAAGGGCGCGUAGGCGGCAAUUCAAGUCAUCUGUGAAAUCUCCGGGCUUAACCCGGAACGGUCAGAUGAUACUGCUUUGCUAGAGUGCGGAAGGGGCAAUCGGAAUUCUUGGUGUAGCGGUGAAAUGCGUAGAUAUCAAGAGGAACACCUGAGGUGAAGACGGGUUGCUGGGCCGACACUGACGCUGAGACACGAAAGCGUGGGUAGCAAACAGG